GCACAAGCACAACGCAAACUUUUAUUUUCUUAUAAGCAUUUUAUCAAUAUUUAGUUCUAUUAUAGAUAUAAAUAUGUAUAUUUAGUUAUAAAAUUGUCUAAACUUUGAGGGAUAAGAGCUACCAGCUACUGUACACCAGUUUUGCUGUCGAAAAUCACAAGGAAGAUUUACCAAUCUUGCGCGGCCAGCUCUAGAAUAUGGUUUACUGCAUGCCGAGGAUGCGUCAUAUCCAAAGGUGCUUGGUCCACCUCCUUGACAUCUUACAAGCUGAUAUGUGAUCACCUACGCAAAGAUCGAAUUAAUGUUAGAUACACUUACGUAUGCUGCC
rnacentral:misc_RNA from 1 species